rnacentral:rRNA from 1 species
ACUCAAAUGAAUAGACGGGGACCCGCACAAGCGGUGGAGUAUGUGGUUUAAUUCGAAGCAACGCGCAGAACCUUACCCGCUUUUGACAUGUACCUUAAGGGGAUCAGAGAUGAUUUUUUCGGGUUAAGCCGGGGGUACACAGGUGCUGCAUGGCUGUCGUCAGCUCGUGUCGUGAGAUGUUGGGUUAAGUCCCGCAACGAGCGCAACCCUUAUCGUUAGUUGCCAUCAGGUAAAGCUUGGGCACUUUAACGAAACUGCCGGUUAUAAGCCGGAGGAAGGUGGGGAUGACGUCAAGUCCUCAUGGCCCUUAUGGGCGGGGCUACACACGUACUACAAUGGUGGUGACAGAGGGAAGCGAAGGAGGAAUCCGGAGCGGAUCCUAAAAAGCCAUCUCAGUUCGGAUUGACCUCUGCAACUCGAGGUCAUGAAGUCGGAAUCGCUAGUAAUCGUCGAUCAGCACGCGACGGUGAAUACGUUCUCGGGUCUUGUACACACCGCCCGU